CUUUGUACUUCUGUAAAUGUGCUGUACAUGUAACUUUGUAUUUUUGUAAAUGUACUGUACACAACUUGCCUUUGUACCUGUUGACAAUGUACUGUGUAUGUAACCUGCAUUUGUACUUGUCAGUGUACAGGUAACUUGCCUUUGUACUUGUACCUUUACUUGUCAAUUUACUGUACAUGUAACUUCACUUUGUAAUUUUGUAAAUGUACUGUACACAACUUGCCUUUGUACGUAUUGUCAAUGUAUACAUGUGCAAAUGUGUGGUAUUUUGAAUAUCAUCUUAGCCACAGGAUGUCUUCAGGUUUGUUCUUCACAUUGCUGUUCAGCUGCAGACUGACUGACCUGGUCUGUUCUGAUCUGUAUCUACAAGACCAGUGUUUACCAAGUAUGGAGAAGUUGGAUCCUGGUUAAAGGUACCUGAGAUGUUGACCCUGAACCUUGGUCUAUUGGACACAUGUACAGGCUAACUAAUGUCAAAACCAGGAAAAAGCUCUAAGAAGAACACCACUAAAAGACAGGUUUUUCUUUCUCUGGUAUAUUUAUGUUAAUGAUCCAAUAUGUUGCUUGCUCUUAUCUUGGAUCCAGUAGACCAGAGAUUACAGAACUACAGCUAAAAUAAUCCAGGACUGUCUCAAGGUCUUGGCCUCCGAGGACACCAGGCUCAACACAGCUGACACAAGUUCAGCUGUAUAUGGAUUGUUGUUUUUCUUUGAUCAUCUUUAUCUGCAUGUUUCACUGGUGUACAGAAUAUGUUCUGAGUUGUUCAGGGUCACUAAUAGAUGGCCCGAGUGUAACUGUAGUAACAGCCUGCUGUACAGUGAUUGAAAUAUUGGUCUUUGUUUUAGGGCUUGUUAAUACGCUCUCAGUUGUUAGAUUAAUAUGGCUCUUCAACUCAUAGAUGUUGUUUUUAAAAUUUAUUUUAGUUUAAAUUGUCUUUAAUGGCAUUAAACAGUUUGGAUUUUUAGGGCCGGCUUAUCUCCCUCUGCCAAGUUAAUUUUCUACUAAAGAAAGAGAAACCCUUCAGUGGUAUUUAGACGACACGUUGGGAGGCCUCCCAGCAGGGGAACUCUGUCCUCUGCCAAAAAAUUGCGCGUUUUACUAGAUACAUGCGGGGUAAAAUGGAAAACUUAUAAAUAAGGCGGUUUAAUCUUGUGGGCAUACCGGUUAGAUUGCGCAAUUAGGUUCUUUAAUAGAAAAUAUACUUGGCAAAGAGACAAUCCAAGACUAGGUUAAGUUUAAGUUGAUAUUCAAAAUGGUUUUAAAAAAAUGAAUUUGGCAAAUUCUGUGGGCUGAAUAGUAGAAUUUAAAGGAGAAUGAUGUGGACCUUUGGUAGUGAUGCUAAUGGCUGCUCUAGUUACUUAUUACUUACUUAAGUAUACAGUUUACUCUGACACUUGAUAGCACUGAAAAGGAUUUAGUUUUACCCUCUUGUUGUUUUUAACCUUCUGAUUUUGUGUGAAGUUCAUAAGUAAAUAAAGCUGAUUUGGUAGAACUUGUAUGAUUUGUCAAAAGUUUAGUUGAGAGGCAGAUUUAGUGACAAAUUCUCCUCUCAUGUUACCACUACAACAGUGGCCAGAUGGUCUAGAGUGAGAUAAUUAGUAGGGUGUCAAUAGAAUCUUUCAGGUCACCUUGGUUAAUUGUUGCGAUGGAGAGAAGCUGAUCAGGUAGUGCAGACUUCGGACCUGGUUCUGAGUUCUUCCUACGAGUGUCUCUGCUUCAGAUCAGUUCACCCUCGGCCCUAAAGUCAGUUGUGAGUAUAGUCUUAGAAUUUCAUCACCAAGUCAUUAGACUAUUUUAGGUACUGAUGCAGACUUCCUGUGAUAUUUUAUUCCCAAUUCAAUCACAUGCUUCAGCUUCUUAACGACAAGUUAUGAUUAAAAAAAACUCUGCUAAUUUCACCUGAUUGGUCUAUGGAUUAACUGAGUGUGGAUGUAAUGAGCUUGGUUUCCUACUACAGAACAAGGUAAACUGAGUCGACUCAAAGUGGUGAGGUUUGUCCUUCCCCUUCUUCUGUUCAAGGAAAUCAGGUCAUUUUAUCCUCAUUAACCCAUCAUGGACACUGCUUCCAAAACCAGACAUGGAUCCCUCUGGGUUUGGAAUGCUGUAUCCUCAUGAUGUGGCCAGUAUUUUAUUUUUUAUUUUUUUUAAAUGUUAGCUCACCCUUUGGAGUAAAGCAAGCUGAAACAAUUUGUUUGGAUUGAUAUAAUAUUUUAGUGUCUGCCUUAGAUAUUGUUUAUUGUUCAAGGGAGCUUUGGUUCUCUGUAAUUGAAGUAUGCUGGCGAGAGAAUGGCUAGGGAUACUAGAGCAGUCAUAUAUAGUAUGAGUUUGGAGUGACUGGCAGGUCACCUGGAGACCUGAUAUUCACUUGUUAAUUUAAUUCACUGGUGUUUAUUAGUGGUUAUUGUGUUCUAUGGUCAGGGGUGGUGGUGGUGCAGGGACUGGUGGUGUAGGCUUCACCCAGGCUGUCCUGAUUGACUGAAUGUGGUAAGAUUAGUCAAUUCAACAGGUAAGACUCCUUGCUGUUCCCUGCCCAAGAGGUUUUGGUGCUGGAUUCAUUCAAAUUCUAGAAAUCUGGCCUCCUGGACUGUAGGGACAAGGUGGACCAAGUCCUUAGUAGCAAGAUCUUCUCAGGCUCUCUGAUCUGUCUUCAGGUUUGUUCUUCAUGUUAACCAUUGCUCUUUCCUUUAAUCUACAGACUGACUGACCUGGUCUGUUCUUAUCUAUAUUUAGGAUUAUAUGGCCUAGGGAUUACCAAGUAUGGAGAAGUUGUAGCCUGGUUAAAGGAACCUGAGGAUCCAAUAGACCUGCGAUUACAGAACUUGGAGAACCUACAUCCUGGUCAAGUCAUGACUGCAGCUAAGAUAAUCCAGAACUGUCCCCUUCCUACUGACUGUCUCAAGGUCUUGGCCCCGAGGACACCAGGCUCAACACAGCUGACAAGUUCAGCUGUAAAUUGAUUUUUGUAAUUUUUUUUUUCUCAUAAGGUUGAUCGUAUAUAAAUUGCCAUGACAUUUCAUGCAUAGUUCUAGUUUUAAUCUUUUGUCACUGAGUUUAAACAACUUGAUUCCCGAUUUGUUUCCUUUGCUGUAGUUCGCAAUCAGUUAGAAUUUAUGAGCUGGAUUUCCUUCACACUACAGAAUGAGGUAAACAGAGUCGACUCAUAAUAUGGAAAGGUCCUUGCCCUUCCCCUUCUUCUUGGUGCUGACAGAAAUCCAGUCAUGAAUUUUUACUGAGUGCUGUACCAUGGAGGUCGUGUCCAAAAUCAGACAUGGAUCCAUCUGCUUUUGUGACCUGGCCCAUCUAUGGUACAUCAUCCUACAAAAAAUGCAACUAACAAGUCAAUGUGAAGUUCUUUAGAACAGAAUGAAUGACAAUUUGUUUUGUAGCAUUUGUAGUUAUUUCAUCAGAGGCCUUUUGGCCACAUCAAGGACUGCACAUGAGAAGUCAUGGUGAUUUCAGUUCAUGGUUCCCUUGUUUUUAAUUUGGGGUGGAGGUCCACAGUAGUGCAGUUUUCAGGGAAGAGAAUAUAGAUGUUCAGGGUCACUAUAAGAUGAAUCGAGUGCUUGUCAAGAUGUUACUGUUGUUGUAAAUGUACUGCUGACUGCUCAUUUUUAGCCUACUGUUUAGACAUUGGUCUUUGUUUUUAGGGCCUGUGAAUACGCUGUCAGUUGUUGAAUUUAAUGACUAUUCAUGUCAUAGAUGUUUUUUGUUUAUGUAUGUUUAAUUUUUUUUGUCAAAUUUAUGCUCACCAAUUCUGUUAAACUGACACUGAUUUAGUCUAAAUUGUCUUUAAUAGCAGAAGUUAAAGGGCACUUAGAGGGACCUCUGAUAUCGAUGGUAAUGACUAAUCAGUUUGCCUUGUUGACUUAUGCAUUGAUUAUAUUCAUAGCUGCCUUGUUUUAUAUUAGUAAGGAAUCUCUGGGACCAAGGCCAACUGCUGCCUGGGCUGGCCUCUUCCUUUCUUUUUUUGUUGGGCCCAGACUCAACAAAACACACUUUGUAGUUACAUUUUAAUUUAAAAUUUUGAAAUAAACUACAUUUAACAUGACUGCACUGUCUCUCCCUCCUCCACGUUCUUCAACACUUAAGUCCAAGUAAUUUAAAAAAAUAAAAAUACAAAAUGUCUAUUUUUCAUGAAACUAAAUGCCUAGACACUAAAAUCGGUGUUGGUCACCUCGACUGUUGUAGAUGGAAACUUAUGAUGACAGCCCUGAGAUGUUUAAUAAUAGAACCUCAAACUAAAUCCCUGAAUUAUGAUCCUCAUUAGUUUGUUUUUGUCUGUUUAGCUUAAGUUUUACUUUAUUUUUUAAAACUCUGCCAAUUUGUUGGUGUGUAGUCUAACUUCAUAGAUAACUUGACCAGUUUGUUAUACAGUCCUGCAUUGACUACAUACUGUAGAGACGUUGAGACUGUCAAUUGUUUAUACAGUCUAAUUCUAUUUUUUUAAAUGCUCUUAUUUGAUGAGAGGUGCAGAAAAGAAAAUUU